rnacentral:rRNA from 1 species
UACAGAGGUGGCAAGCGUUGUUCGGAUUUACUGGGCGUAAAGGGCGCGUAGGCGGCAAUUCAAGUCAUCUGUGAAAUCUCCGAGCUUAACUCGGAACGGUCAGAUGAUACUGUUUUGCUAGAGUACAGAAGGGGCAAUCGGAAUUCUUGGUGUAGCGGUGAAAUGCGUAGAUAUCAAGAGGAACACCUGAGGUGAAGACGGGUUGCUGGGCUGAUACUGACGCUGAAGCGCGAAAGCUAGGGUAGCAAACGGG